rnacentral:rRNA from 1 species
UUGGCAGCUUGCUGCCGGGGUGAGAGUGGCGAACGGGUGAGUAAUGCGUGACCGACCUGCCCCAUGCACCGGAAUAGCUCCUGGAAACGGGUGGUAAUGCCGGAUGUUCCACAUGAGCGCAUGCGAGUGUGGGAAAGGCUUUUUGCGGCAUGGGAUGGGGUCGCGUCCUAUCAGCUUGUUGGUGGGGUAACGGCCUACCAAGGCGUUGACGGGUAGCCGGCCUGAGAGGGCGACCGGCCACAUUGGGACUGAGAUACGGCCCAGACUCCUACGGGAGGCAGCAGUGGGGAAUAUUGCACAAUGGGCGCAAGCCUGAUGCAGCGACGCCGCGUGCGGGAUGGAGGCCUUCGGGUUGUAAACCGCUUUUGUUCAAGGGCAAGGCACGGUUUCGGCCGUGUUGAGUGGAUUGUUCGAAUAAGCACCGGCUAACUACGUGCCAGCAGCCGCGGUAAUACGUAGGGUGCAAGCGUUAUCCGGAUUUAUUGGGCGUAAAGGGCUCGUAGGCGGUUCGUCGCGUCCGGUGUGAAAGUCCAUCGCUUAACGGUGGAUCCGCGCCGGGUACGGGCGGGCUUGAGUGCGGUAGGGGAGACUGGAAUUCCCGGUGUAACGGUGGAAUGUGUAGAUAUCGGGAAGAACACCAAUGGCGAAGGCAGGUCUCUGGGCCGUUACUGACG